AAAACAUGGUAAAGAUUGAAGAAUUACAGUAUGUUUCUCGGUACUAUCAAGGACUACUCAGUUUAGGGACUUGCCUCUAUGGGAGAGAUUUAUGGUAUUAGAUGUUACCUGUAUCUUGAUAGUUUAUUCAUUGGCACAUUUACAACAUCAUAUUUGCAUACUUUCAAGAACACAUCUGGAAAGAAAUUCUUUUUCAAUAACUUUUAAGGCCUUAACAAUCUUUCAAUAAUAUUUUAACUUUAGAUGUAUUGUCUAUCCAGGCAAAAUUUUUUGGCAGAUGUAACUCUUUCUUGAGGUUUUAUUAAUCAAUUAUGCCGACAAAGCAGAAAAUAAAUGGUAAAAUCUGAUAUAACACUCAAUACAUAUUAGAGAUUUUUGAAACCAAGCGUCUUAUUACUUUAAAAAAAGAGAAACUAAUUUAACUCGUUUGAAAAUAGCGAUUAUUGUGUCCUCUCGUUAAGUUAAUGUGCACGGGCAGGUUCUCAUGAGCCAAUAACGCCACAUCAUGUUAUUAUAAUUUUCACACUCUUGUGUGACGUGUAGCCAAACCUUUCUACGAUUUCAUAAAGAAAUAAAACCAAAAACAAAAAAGCACUACCCAGGGGCUAUGAAUUGGGUUGGGUGAGAAAGAAAAAGGUGAGAUGAUCCAGUUAUAUUUGGAUGUUGUUCCAACGUUGAAAUCUUCCAGUCACAUUUGGUCUUGUUACUUUCUCAAGGACUCUUUUUACUGUUUUAUCCUCUUUCUGCAUGUACCGGAAGUGGGGAACUCCUUUCUUCAGGAAAGUUUGCUGAUUGAUUCUUGUUACGUAUAUGUCUGCCUGAGGACAGGAGUGACUUCUCAAUGCUGUCUGUAGACUAUACAAGGUGAGCUUAGAAGCCAUAGCUGAAUGAAGUCUGCCGACGACAUCCAAUCUACACCACCCACACAAGUUCCUAAUGCUCUGUAACAAUCACCAGAGGCAGUCAUGGGGGAAAUGCUGGAGAAGACAGAGAGAGAAAGCGAUCCGCACCACACCUGCUUGAUGAGUUCUCACCUUAACGACCAUGGCCUAAACCACAAGAUCCACAGCUUUUUAACUCCCUUUGUCAAUGGCACAGAAGGCAAACAUCAAACAGAGCCUGGGGCAACUAUAGAAGACUUGUCAUCUAGGAAUCUGUGUCAGAGAAUAUCUUCACCUGGUCCAGGUGUUCACAGGAAAGGGAAAGGCGCACAGGUGAAAAGAAAGGAAAGAGAAUGGGGCAACAGACUUCACAAGACACUGCUUUCAGGUGAACUUGUCGCCACUCUAUGUCUUCACUUUGUAAGACGUACCAUGGAGAAAAGGAGUGGAUAAAACCGCCCAUGACAACCCUUUACGAGAGAGCUGAGAAUUACAUCUGGAAGUUCAAGGGCCCAUUCCGUCCAAUCAGAACUCAGGCCUGCUAGACGACGGUAAAAUGCAAGCCAGUCGCAGAGAAGAAUUCCAAGCCACAUUUACCAUAGUUAGAUUCUAGUUCCAUGUCUGGACACCUACAGAAGCGCUGCCGAG